UGGGGAAUUUUGGACAAUGGGGGCAACCCUGAUCCAGCCAUGCCGCGUGAGUGAAGAAGGCCUUCGGGUUGUAAAGCUCUUUCGGCCGGGAAGAAAUCGCAUAGGCUAAUACCCUGUGUGGAUGACGGUACCGGAAUAAGAAGCACCGGCUAACUACGUGCCAGCAGCCGCGGUAAUACGUAGGGUGCGAGCGUUAAUCGGAAUUACUGGGCGUAAAGCGUGCGCAGGCGGUUUUGUAAGACAGGCGUGAAAUCCCCGGGCUCAACCUGGGAACUGCGCUUGUGACUGCAAGGCUAGAGUACGGCAGAGGGGGGUGGAAUUCCACGUGUAGCAGUGAAAUGCGUAGAGAUGUGGAGGAACACCAAUGGCGAAGGCAGCCCCCUGGGUCGAUACUGACGCUCAUGCACGAAAGCGUGGGUAGCAAACAG
rnacentral:rRNA from 1 species